GAUGAACGCUGGCGGCGUGCCUAACACAUGCAAGUCGAGCGAACAGACGAGGACUUUCCUCCUCUGACGUUAGCCGCGCGCGGGUGUGUAACACGUGGAUAACCCCCCUAUAAGACGGGGACAACUUCGGGAAAGCGGAGCUAAUACAGGCGAAUAUAGUGAAACGCAUGGUUAAAUAGUGAAAGACGGUUUUGCUGUCACCUAUAGACGGAUCCGCGCCGCAUUAGCUAGUUGGUAAGGUAACGGCCUACCAAGGCGACGAUGAGUAGCCGACCUGAGAGGGUGAUCGGCCACACUGGAACUGAGACACGGUCCAGACUCCUACGGGAGGCAGCAGUAGGGAAUCUUCGGCAAUGGGCGAAAGCCUGACGGAGCAACGCCGCGUGUGUGAUGAAGGUCUUCGGGUCGUAAAGCUCUGUUAUUAGGGAAGAACACAUGUGUAAGUAUAUGUGCGCGUCUUGACGGUACCUGAAGAGAAAGCCACGGCUAACUACGUG
rnacentral:rRNA from 1 species